rnacentral:rRNA from 1 species
CCUACGGGGGGCAGCAGUAAGGAAUAUUGCGCAAUGGGCGAAAGCCUGACGCAGCGACGCCGCGUGGGGGAUGAAGGUCUUCGGAUUGUAAACCCCUUUCGGGAGGGAAGAUGGAGCGAGCAAUCGUUCGGACGGUACCUCCAGAAGCAGCCACGGCCAACUUCGUGCCAGCAGCCGCGGUAAUACGAAGGUGGCAAGCGCUGUUCGGAUUCGCUGGGCGUGCAGGUUGUGUAUUUGGUUAGGUAACUGUUAAAGCUUCGGGCCCAACCCGGAAAGCGCAGAGGGUACUGCCAGGCUAGAGGGUGGGAGAGGAGCGCGGAAUGCCCGGUGUAGCGGUGAAAUGCGUAGAGAUCGGGAGGAAGGCCGGUGGCGAAGGCGGCGCUCUGGAACAUACCUGACGCUGAGACACGAAAGCGUGGGGAGCAAACAGGAUUAGAUACCCCUGUAGUC